GACGAACGCUGGCGGCGUGCUUACCACAUGCAAGUCGAACGAAGUGGCGAACGGGUGAGUAACGCGUAAUCCACCUGCCCUUCAGAGGGGGACAACAGUUGGAAACGACUGCUAAUACCGCAUACUGAAGGAGGGGAUUGCGUCUGAUUAGCUAGUUGGGGGGGUAACGGCCCACCAAGGCGAUGAGCAGUAGACGGUCGGAGAGAAUGAACGGCCACAUUGGGCCUGGGACACGGCCCAGAAGCUUACGGGAGGCAGCGGUGGGGAAUCUUCCGCAAUGGACGAAAGUCUGACGGAGCAACGCCGCGUGAGUGAUGACGGCCUGCGGGUUGUAAAGCUCUGUUAAUCGGGACGCGGUACCGGAAUAGAAAGCCACGGCGAACUACGGGCCAGCAGCCGCGGUAAUAC
rnacentral:rRNA from 1 species